AGCCGGAGUAACAUUUAUAGCUUGCUAAAAAAUGACAAGCGGCGGAGGGGUGAGUAAUGCUUGGGAACAUGCCUUGAGGUGGGGGACAACAUUUGGAAACGACUGCUAAUACCGCAAAAUGUCUACGGACCAAAGGGGGCUUCGGCUCUCCCCUUUAAAUUGGCCCAAGUGGGAUUAGCUAUUUGGUGAGGUAAUGGCUCACCAAGGCGACAAUCCCUAUCUGGUUUGAGAGGAUGAUCACCCACACUGGGACUGAGACACGGCCCAAACUCCUACGGGAGGCACCAGUGGGGAAUAUUGCACAAUGGGCGCAAGCCUGAUGCACCCAUGCCGCGUGUGUGAAAAAGGCCUUCGGGUUGUAAAGCACUUUCACUCAGGAGGAAAGGUUAGUAUUUAAUACCUGCUAUCUGUGACGUUACUGACAAAAAAAACACCGGCUAACUCCGUGCCACCACCCGCGGUAAUACGGAGGGUGCGAGCGUUAAUCGGAAUUACUGGGCGUAAAGCGUACGCAGGCGGUUUGUUAAGCGAGAUGUGAAACCCCCGGGCUCAACCUGGGAACUGCAUUUCAAACUGGCAAACUAGAGUGUGAUAGAGGGUGGUAGAUUUUCAGGUGUAGCGGUGAAAUGCGUAGAGAUCUGAAGGAAUACCGAUGGCGAAGGCACCCACCUGGGUCAACACUGACGCUCAUGUACGAAAGCGUGGGGGAGCAAACAGGAUUAUAUACCCUGGUAGUCCACGCCGUAAACGAUGUCUACUAGAAGCUCGGAACCUCGGUUCUGUUUUUCAAAGCUAACGCAUUAAGUAAACCGCCUGGGAGUACGGCCGCAGGUUAAACUCAAAUGAUUGACGGGGGGCCCGCACAGCGUGAGCAUGUGUUUAUUCGAUGC
rnacentral:rRNA from 1 species